CCUACGGGUGGCAGCAGUGAGGAAUAUUGGUCAAUGGACGAGAGUCUGAACCAGCCAAGUAGCGUGAAGGAUGACUGCCCUAUGGGUUGUAAACUUCUUUUAUAUGGGAAUAAAAUGUUCCACGUGUGGGAUUUUGUAUGUACCAUAUGAAUAAGGAUCGGCUAACUCCGUGCCAGCAGCCGCGGUAAUACGGAGGAUCCGAGCGUUAUCCGGAUUUAUUGGGUUUAAAGGGAGCGUAGGUGGAUUGUUAAGUCAGUUGUGAAAGUUUGCGGCGCAACCGUAAAAUUGCAGUUGAAACUGGCAGUCUUGAGGACAGUAGAGGUGGGCGGAAUUCGUGGUGUAGCGGUGAAAUGCUUAGAUAUCACGAAGAACUCCGAUUGCGAAGGCAGUUCACUGGACUGCAACUGACACUGAGGCUCGAAAGUGUGGGUAUCAAACAGGAUUAGAUACCCGAGUAGUC
rnacentral:rRNA from 1 species